rnacentral:misc_RNA from 1 species
CCCAACUAUCCCUAUUAAUCAUUACGUCGAUCCUAGAAACCAACAAAAUAGAAUCAAACGUCCUAUUUCAUUAUUCCAUGCUAAUGUAUUCAAGCGCGAGCCUGCUUUAAACACUCUAAUUUUUUCAAAGUAACAGUCCUGAUUCCCCACGACACCAAAUUAAUGACAUCGUGAGUAGGAAUCAAUUUGACCAGUACGUACCGAGGCACGACCGACCAACAGAUCCCGAAAUUCAACUACGAGCUUUUUAACUGCAACAACUUUAAUAUACGCUAUUGGAGCUGGAAUUACCGCGGCUGCUGGCACCAGACUUGCCCUCCAA